UAGCGGCGGACGGGUGAGUAACACGUGAGUAACCUGCCUUAGACAUUGGGAUAGCCUCGGGAAACCGGGAUUAAUACCAAAUAAAAUCAUAAUGACACAUGUCAUAACGAUCAAAACUCCGGUGGUCUAAGAUGGACUCGCGUCCCAUUAGCUAGUUGGUAGAGUAAAAGCCUACCAAGGCGACGAUGGGUAGCCGGCCUGAGAGGGUGAACGGCCACAUUGGAACUGAGAAACGGUCCAAACUCCUACGGGAGGCAGCAGUGGGGAAUAUUGCACAAUGGAGGGAACUCUGAUGCAGCGACGCCGCGUGAACGAAGAAGGCUUUCGAGUCGUAAAGUUCUUUUAUAUGGGAAGAUAAUGACGGUACCAUAAGAAAAAGCCCCGGCUAACUACGUGCCAGCAGCCGCGGUAAUACGUAGGGGGCUAGCGUUGUCCGGAAUCACUGGGCGUAAAGGGUUCGCAGGCGGAAAUGCAAGUCAGAUGUAAAAGGCAGUAGCUUAACUACUGUAAGCAUUUGAAACUGCAUAUCUUGAGAAGAGUAGAGGUAAGUGGAAUUUUUAGUGUAGCGGUGAAAUGCGUAGAUAUUAAAAAGAAUACCGGUGGCGAAGGCGACUUACUGGGCUCAUUCUGACGCUGAGGAACGAAAGCGUGGGUAGCAAACAGGAUUAGAUACCCUGGUAGUCCACGCUGUAAACGAUGAGUGCUAGGUGUCGGCGAAUGUCGGUGCCGCAGUUAACACAAUAAGCACUCCGCCUGGGGAGUACGUGCGCAAGCAUGAAACUCAAAGGAAUUGACGGGGACCCGCACAAGCAGCGGAGCAUGUGGUUUAAUUCGAAGCAACGCGAAGAACCUUACCAGGGCUUGACAUACUGAGGACGUACUUAGAGAUAAGUAUACUUCUUCGGAAGCCUCAAUACAGGUGGUGCAUGGUUGUCGUCAGCUCGUGUCGUGAGAUGUUGGGUUAAGUCCCGCAACGAGCGCAACCCCUAUCUUUAGUUGCCAGCAUAUAAGAUGGGAACUCUAAAGAGACUGCCGAUGAUAAAUCGGAGGAAGGUGGGGAUGACGUCAAAUCAUCAUGCCCUAUAUGCCCUGGGCUACACACGUGCUACAAUGGAAGGUACAAAGGGAAGCAACAGAGUGAUCUCAAGCAAACCUCAAAAAGCCUUUCCCAGUUCGGAUUGUACUCUGCA
rnacentral:rRNA from 1 species